AAAAGUUGCAAAAACAGUAUAAAGAAUUCUGAUAUACUCUUCACCCAGAUUCUCCAAAGCCUACUCCAGAAUGAGUAUUUGCCUUUCUUUGAAGCCAGAGAAUGAUGUGCUGCAGCACCGGAAACAUCAUUUACUUUCCAAAAUGGGCCGCAUUGUAACCUGAGUGUGUGCCAUUGUUGCUGAUGUGAGAAGGAGCGCCUUGACAUUUUUGGCUGUGAUUUCAAGUGUCCUCAUGCAAGAGUACUAGCUCUCCUACACCAGAGCAUAUAGACUUUCAGAAAAGGAUGGAGAAUAAAAAGAAGGAGGCCCGUAUGAAGACAGCCAACUUAGAAAACAGCAGGGCCCAGUUCGAGUGAGAGCAAGGCCAAUAUUGUGUGUGUGUGUGUGUGUGUGUGUGUGUGUGUGUUUUAUGGCCAAACUGUAUCUAGGGAUGCUAAAUAAAAGAUACCAAUUUUAUAAUAUAUGUUGUAAACGAAGCCCUCAAACUGUUUAAAAUGAGUAUUUCGGUAGCCAUAUGCUCUGCAUGGUCACAUAUAUGUAUAUGUGAUAUGGGUGUGUGUGCGCACACACGUGCCGG
rnacentral:lncRNA from 10 species